AGAGAAGCGCCUUGCAAUAGGAAAUGGAGAUAAGGAGAGGGUUAUCGUAGUAUAGAUAUACUUCUUUGUGUAGACUGAGGUGAUGCCAUUGGAGCGGCCAUACCAUCCUCAACAAAUUAAGCAUAAAAGCUAAGGAGGUGAAGGAGCUGAUUUUGGAUGAUUCACUUUGGCUUUGAAAAAUACACAAAAGUAUUUGGGUGUCUUACGUUGAAUGUGGUGAAAGCUAUUGUGCUUUAUGCUAGUUUUAGAAUGGAACAAAGAGAAACAUGAAGAUGAGAAGAGAAGCAAAAUCCAAACACAUUGUGGUCCAUCCGUAUAGGAAAGCUUAGACAUGUGAACACUGGGUGUAGC